rnacentral:rRNA from 1 species
ACGGGUGAGUAAUGCAUCGGAACGUGCCCAGUCGUGGGGGAUAACGUAGCGAAAGCUACGCUAAUACCGCAUACGAUCUGUGGAUGAAAGCGGGGGACCGUAAGGCCUCGCGCGAUUGGAGCGGCCGAUGUCAGAUUAGGUAGUUGGUGGGGUAAAGGCCUACCAAGCCGACGAUCUGUAGCUGGUCUGAGAGGACGACCAGCCACACUGGGACUGAGACACGGCCCAGACUCCUACGGGAGGCAGCAGUGGGGAAUUUUGGACAAUGGGCGCAAGCCUGAUCCAGCAAUGCCGCGUGCAGGAUGAAGGCCUUCGGGUUGUAAACUGCUUUUGUACGGAACGAAACGGCUCUUUCUAAUACAAGGGGCUAAUGACGGUACCGUAAGAAUAAGCACCGGCUAACUACGUGCCAGCAGCCGCGGUAAUACGUAGGGUGCGAGCGUUAAUCGGAAUUACUGGGCGUAAAGCGUGCGCAGGCGGUUAUGUAAGACAGAUGUGAAAUCCCCGGGCUCAACCUGGGACCUGCAUUUGUGACUGCAUAGCUAGAGUACGGUAGAGGGGGAUGGAAUUCCGCGUGUAGCAGU